UUCUUUCCCGUUUCUAUCAUGUCUGCGUCCGUAUGAGAGGGAGAGCUGUCCUCAAAGUUAGUACCUUGUCUAGGAGAUUUCGGAGCAUGGUUGUUGCGACCCAGGCUUUGCAUAUAGCUGGGAGAGGUUGCCGGAUUGUGAGUCAUCCUCCCUCCCCCCCACCAACCCCAUUCGAGAAAUUCCAUGAUAACACACCAAAGAAGUAGAAUUUACCAUUCCUUCCCUUCAUCUGGAGUCAUCUGAAGUUGAACAGCCCUUCUGGUGGGGGGGGGGCAUUUUUGCUGUGAUAAAUUUGUCUUUGUGACAAACUCCACUGACCUCCAGGUGGAGCUGCAUGAAAGAGAGACAGAAGGGGAAAGAGGAAAACAACCAGGUUGGUGCCCGGAAGAAGCAGAUAGCAGGAGAAAGACACAAAAUACCAAGAUGGUGCACGGUCCUUCAUGGAUUUGCAGGGAAGAGAGUGACGUGUGAACUGAUUCAGCCAGUGACAUUCCACAGGAAUUUGGAGAGACGGCCCAUGGGCUCAGCCAGCCCGGGGUGGGAUGCGAGAGGAAGGAGACACGGUCUAAGGAGCUGGCCGUCUAGGUGGCAGUCUUUGGGAUGGCACCUCACAGACAGCCAAAGACCAACUACGCUCCAUGGUGAACUGCGAUGCAGCCCAAGACGUGGUUUCACAGUGUGUUUUCCUUAA
rnacentral:lncRNA from 1 species